UAGGUUGUAGUUUAAGUUGAGAAUUAGGGCUUUGGGUGUCCUAGGAACCCCACAGGGUCAGCCUAA
rnacentral:tRNA from 1 species